UACGAAGGGGGCUAGCGUUGCUCGGAAUUACUGGGCGUAAAGGGCGCGUAGGCGGACAGUUUAGUCAGAGGUGAAAGCCCAGGGCUCAACCUUGGAAUUGCCUUUGAUACUGACUGUCUUGAGUACGGGAGAGGUGAGUGGAACUCCGAGUGUAGCGGUGAAAUGCGUAGAUAUUGGGAGGAACACCAGUGGCGAAGGCGGCUCACUGGACCGGAACUGACGCUGAGGCGCGAAAGCGUGGGGAGCGAACAGG
rnacentral:rRNA from 1 species